GUACAUAUGUAACAAACCUGCAGGUUGUGCACAUGUACCCUAGAACUUAAAGUAUAAUAAUAAUAAAAAAAAGAACAUGCUCCUUUAGUUCAGAGGAGUUUGUUAUUACCCACCUUCUGAAUCCUACUUCUGUCAACUCGUCAAACUCAUUUUUCUGUUGAGUUUUGUUCCCUUGCUGGUGAGGAGUUGUGAUCCUUUGGAGGAGAAGAGGCAUUCUGGUUUUGGGAACUUUCAGCAUUUUUGCACUGGUUUUUCCUCAUCUUCGUGGAUUUAUCUACCUUUGAUCUUUGAUGCUGAUGACCUUCAGAUGGGGUUUUUGUGUGGGUGUCCUUUUUGAUGAUGUUGAUGUUAUUGCUUUCUGUUUGUUAGUUUUUCUUCUAACAGUCAGGCCUCUCUUCUGCAGGUCUGCUGGAGUUUGCUGGAGGUCUACUGCAAACCCUGUUUGCCUGGGUAUCAGCAGUGGAGGCUGCAGAACAGCAAAGAUUGCUGCCUUCUCCUUCCUCUGGAAGCUUCAUCCCAGAGGGGCACCUGCCAGAUGCCAGUCAGAGCUCUCCUGUAUGAGCUGCCUGUUGACCCAUGCUGGGACAUGUCUCCCAGUCAGGAGGCAUGGGGGUCAGGGACCCACUUGAGGAGGCAGUCUGUCCCUUAGCAAAGCUCGAGCACUGUUCUGGGAGAUCCACUGCUCUCUUCAGAGCUGGCAGGCAGAAACGUUUAAUUCUGCUGAAGCUGUGCCCACAACCACCCCAUCCCCCAGUGCUCUGUCUCCGGGAGAUGGGACUUUUAUUUAUGACCUUCUGACUGGGGUUGCUGCCUUUCUUUCAGAGAUGCCUUGCCAAGAGUGGAGGAAUCUAGAGAAGCAGUCUGGCUAUAGUAGCUUUGCUGUGCUGUGAGGCUGGGAAGUCAGUAAUGAAGGUCCUGUUAUGUUCCAUGUGUGGUGAGAGCCCAGCAUCUCCUUCCAAGACAGCAUCUUGUUGCUGCAUUCUCUGCAAGAGAUGGACACUGUGUCUUCACAUGGUGGGAGAAUGGAAGGAGCCACCUAGUUCUUUCAAGCCCUCUUAUAAGGGACUUCAAAGCAGGCAUAACGGACUGCUUAAGGUCAUCUCUUCAACCCUGAAAUCACCAGCUGAGGACUUGUGGGAUUCAACAGAGAUUGGUUUGUGCUUUGACGGUGUCAUGGAAUUUGCCAUGGAUGGAAUCAUACUGGAACAUGUAGACCACGUAGUCGAGGUCAAUGAUGGGGUCAUUGAUGGC
rnacentral:lncRNA from 1 species